UCAAGCCACUGAUGAUACAAGUUAUCCCUGUCUGAAAUUAAAGUGUUGAUUCAUGGUAAUCUGAGGCUUGA